rnacentral:rRNA from 1 species
UACGUAGGGGGCAAGCGUUGUCCGGAUUUACUGGGCGUAAAGAGCGCGUAGGCGGACGUUUAAGUGUGGCCUGAAAGCCCCCGGCUCAACCGGGGAUCCGGGUUGCAAACUGGACGUUUUGAGGGGGAUAGGGGAAGGUGGAAUUCCUGGUGUAGCGGUGAAAUGCGUAGAGAUCAGGAGGAACACCCGUGGCGAAGGCGGGUAGCUGGGCCGACACUGACGCUGAAGCGCGAAAGCCAGGGGAGCGAACGGG